CAAAUCUCCCCAGAAAUGCCCCAAAUUCCCUCUCAAAAACGCCAAAAUCUCCCAAUUUUUACCCCCAAAAUGAUCAUACAUUGAAGUCACCAAAUUUGACCAAAAUUCCCCCCCCAAAAAACCCCAAAUUCACCCCAAAAUUCACCCCAAACCACCCCCAGCCCAACCCGUUGCCACCGGACCCCAAAUUGCCCCAGAAAUGCCCCAAAUUCCCUCUCAAAAACACCAAAAUCCCCCAAUUUUACCCCCAAAAUGAUCGUCCAAAAGAAUCAUUCAAUUUGACCCAAAUUCCCCAAAUUUCAACCCCCAAAACCCCAAAAUUCACCCCAAACCACCCCCAGCUCAACCCGUUGCCCCCAAACCCCAAAUCCCCCCAGAAAUGCCCCAAAUUCCCUCUCAAAAACACCAAAAUCUCCCAAUUUCACCCACAAAAGCGACCGUCCACAGAAGUCACCGAAUUUGACCAAAAUUCCCCAAAUUUCAACCCCAAAAACCCCAAAAUUCACCCCAAAUCACCCCCAGCUCAACCCGUUCACCCCCAAACCCCAAAUCUCCCCAGAAAUGCCCCAAAUUCCCUCUCAAAAACACCAAAAACCCCAAUUUUACCCACAAAAUCAUCGUCCACUGAAGUCACCAAAUUUGACCCAAAUCCCCCCCCAAAAAAAACCCAAAUUCACCCCAAAAUUCACCCCAAACCACCAACAGCUCAACCCGUCGCCACCGGACCCCAAAUCGCCCCAGAAAUGCCCCAAAUUCCCUCUCAAAAACACCAAAAAUCCCCCAAUUUUACCCCCAAAAUUAUCAUCCACAAAAAUCAUUCAAUUUGACCCAAAUUCCCCAAAUUUCAAACCCCCAAAAACCCCAAAAUUCACCCCAAACCACCCCCAGCUCAACCCGUCGCCCCCAAACCCCAAAUCGCCCCAGAAAUGCCCCAAAUUCCCUCUCAAAAACCCCCAAAUCAUCAAAUUUAACCAAAAUCCCCCAAAUCUCCCCAUCAGGCAACACCCUCUUUUUUGGGGGCCAAUACUCCCACUUUGGGGUCAUCCCAUUGACACCCAACCCCACAGACCUCCAUUUUGGGGCCAAAUCUUCCAUUUUGGGGCCAAAUCUCCCACUUCAGGGCCAACCCAUUGACACCCAACCCCAAAGACCUCCAUUUUGGGGCCAAAUCUUCCAUUUUGGGGCCAAAUCUCCCACUUUGGGGUCAUCCCAUUGACACCCAACCCCACAGACCUCCAUUUUGGGGCCAAAUCUUCCACUUCGGGGCCCCCAACCCCACACAUCUCCAUUUUGGGGCCAAAUCUUCCAUUUUGGGGCCAAAUCUCCCACUUUCGGGUCAUCCCAUUGACACCCAACCCCAAAGACCCCCAUUUUGGGGCCAAAUCUCCCACUUUCGGGUCAUCCCAUUGACACCCAACCCCAAAGACCCCCAUUUUGGGGCCCAA
ensembl:lncRNA